rnacentral:rRNA from 1 species
AGCAGCCGCGGUAAUUCCAGCUCCAAUAGCGUAUAUUAAAGUUGUUGCAGUUAAAAAGCUCGUAGUUGAAUUUCGGGAUCAAUAUAUCGGUCGUGCCUCCGGUAUGCACUGGUAUUAUUGAUUUUCUACCUUCUGACGAAUCAUGAUGUCAUUAAUUUGGUGUCAUGGGGAAUCAGGACUGUUACUUUGAAAAAUUAGAGUGUUUAAAGCAGGCACACGCUUGAAUACAUUAGCAUGGAAUAAUGAAAUAGGACGUUUGACCCUAUUUUGUUGGUUUCUAGGAUCGACGUAAUGAUUAAUAGGGAUAGUUGGGGGCAUUAGUAUUCAAUUGUCAGAGGUGAAAUUCUUGGAUUUAUUGAAGACUAACUACUGCGAAAGCAUUUGCCAAGGAUGUUUUCAUUAAUCAAGAACGAAAGUUAGGGGAUCGAAGACGAUCAGAUACCGUCGUAGUCUUAACCAUAAACUAUGCCGACUAGGGAUCGGAUGAUGUUAAUUUUUAAUUGACUCAUUC